UACGAAGGGAGCUAGCGUUGUUCGGAAUCACUGGGCGUAAAGCGCACGUAGGCGGAUGUGUCAGUCAGGGGUGAAAUCCCGGAGCUCAACUUCGGAACUGCCUUUGAUACAGCACGUCUUGAGUCCGAUAGAGGUGGGUGGAAUUCCUAGUGUAGAGGUGAAAUUCGUAGAUAUUAGGAAGAACACCGGUGGCGAAGGCGGCCCACUGGAUCGGUACUGACGCUGAGGAGCGAAAGCAUGGGUAGCGAACAGG
rnacentral:rRNA from 1 species